UCCAUUGGUUCACUCCCCAAAUGGCCGCAAUGGCUGGAGCUGCACCGAUCCAGAGCCAGGAGCCAGGAGCUUCUUCCUGGUCUCCCACGCAGGUGCAGGGGCCCAAGCACUUGGGCCAUCUUCUGCUGUUUUCCCAGGCCAUAGCAGAGAGCUGGAUCGGAAUAGCAGCCAGGACUAGAACCGGCGUCCAUAUGGGAUGCCGGCACCGCUGCAGGCAGAGGAUUAACCUACUGCGCCAUGGCACCUGCCCCACUGCUCCAGUUCUGAUUCAGGUCCUGCUAAUGUGCCUAGGAAAGCAGUGGAAGAUAGCCCAAGUGCCUGGGUCCCUGCCACCCACAUGGGAGACCCAGAUGGAGCUCCACGCUCCUGGCUUUGGCCUGAUCCAGCCCUGCCGGUUGCAGCCAGAAUCUUCCUGUCUCUAUUCUCGAUCUCCCUCUCUCUCUCUGCAUGUAACUGCGUUUCAAAUAAAUAUUUAAAAAACUAGCUGUAGCAAUGUCACUUCUUAAAAGAUGGAUUCCAAAGUCCACCCUAGGCCUUUGGAAUGUCCAGGGCCCAGGCUAGGAAUCUGCUUCCCAAGGGCCAGGGUGGGGGUGAGGGGGGACGGCGUGUGUCCUUGGGAGGAGACACCUUCGGGAAACCCUGCCCCCCCCACAUUCUCUCGGGGUCCUGGCCCAGAGGGGGUUGGGGAGCAGAACUGCAAGGGGCUAACUUCCCACUCCGGAGCCAGCACGACCUGUCCCCGCCCAGGGCGCCUCGGCAUCUGGAUGACCCUGGGAGUCAGGAGGCCUGGCCUGGGAGGGCAGGGGGCCUCACCUCUCCAGCGGGGCCACAGCUCCCGCCCAGAGAAAACCCACGUACAACGCCCUCCUCCGAGUAGGGGCUCCGGGGACAGCGGCCCUGCGGACAGAGGCUCAGGGUCCUCGGCAGAGGAGCCUGGGGUCACAGAUGCCCUCUGUCCGGCAGUGCCCCGGAAGUGAUCCCCCGGCCUGACCACUCCUUCCGGCCAGCGGAGCGGAGCCGGAGUUUCGUCAGCGGCUGUGCGGCGUGCUGCCCUGCGCUGAGCUCCAGGCCAAGUGGCCCCUGAGACAGAGAUGGCGCAAUGGCCAGACCUGAGCCCAUCCGAUCCGAAGCCAGGAGCCAGGAGCCAGGAGCCAGGAGCCAGGAGCCUCUUCCGGGUCUCCCACGCGGGUGCAGGCGCCCAAGGACUUGGGCCAUCUUCUACUGCUCUCCGAGGCCACAGCAGAGAGCCGGAUCGGAAGAGGAGCAGCUGGGACUCGAACCGGCGCCCAUAUGUGGCUUUACCUGCUAUGCCACAGCGCCGGCACCUUUUAAUACUUCAAAAUUACCGGGAGUCCCAGUGCGAAGCCACAGGGACAGACGCUUGUGCUGCUUUUCCUGCGGCCCAGAGAGGCUAAGCACCUUGACAAGCUUGCACUGGUAAGUGGCAGAAUUGGGGCUGGAGUUCAGGUGUGUGCACCCCAAAGCCUGCACUUUCCUCAGAACCCCACUGCCCUGGGACGCGGGGGCUGAACAGUGAGGUGUUGCUGCGUGCCUGUCUGAAUGGCCCAGAUCCAGGACACCGGGAACACCAGAUGCUGGCACAGGGAGCUCGGGAACCCUUCCUCAUUGCUGACGGCAGUGCGAAACGCUGCAGCCACUUGGGAAGACGGCCGGCGGUGUCCUGCUAGACUAAACCUCCUCUUCCCGUGUGGCCCAGCCGUCUGUGAUGGUUAAGUGCGGUGUCAACUGCCUGGAUGGGAAGAUGCCAGACGGCUGGUACAGCGCUGUUCCUGGUGUGUGUGUGUGUGAUGGGUUCCAGAGCAGAUCUGGCAUGUGAGUCAGUGCACUGAGUGUGUGUGUGUGUGUGUGUGCAUGUGCGUGGGGGGGUGAUAGACUCUGAGAGGGGGCGAGCCGGGGACCCUGACGGAGCAGAAGGUCAGAGGGCAAGUGCUCCCCGAUGGGUCUCUGUCUCCCUGCCCCUCCCGGUACGGAACACCCUCUUCCUGCUUUUGUGCAUCAGAUGGCCCCUUUUUUGUUGUUAUUAAGAUUUAUUUAUUUAUCUAUCUAUCUAUCUAUCUAUCUAAAAGGCAGAGUGACACACAGAGAGGAUGAGACGGAGAGAGAGAUCUUCCGUCUGCUGGGUCACUCCCCAGAUGGCCGCAGUGUGGGGGGUGGACCAGGCUGAAGCCAAGGACAUGGAACUCCAUUCACAUCUCCCAUGAGGCUGGCAGGGACCCAAGUACUUGGACCAUCCUCUACUUUCCCAGGCACAUUAGCAGGUGUCUAAUUCUGAUGCUUUAUUAAAAUCUGACUCCCACACCGUGCAACUCAUCCAUUUAAAGUGUGCAGUGCAGUGGCUCUUAGUAUAUGAACAGUUGUUUCAGCUUCAUUCACCACAGUCAGCUUUAGAACAUUCUCAUUGCUCUACAGGGCCCCACUCGUUGGCUGUUACUUCCCAAACCACUCAUCUGCUUUCACACAACAUGUGGUCCCUCUGUCCCUGACUGUUUUUAGCAUAGUGUUUUCAAGUUUCAUCUAUAUUGUAGCAGGAGUCAGUGCUUCAUUUUUCAAAAAGACAUUUUAUUUUAUUUGAAAGGAGAAACAGAGGUCUUCCACCCACUGAUUCACUCCCCAGAUGGUCACAAUGUCCAGGGCUGGGCCACAAAAGCCAGGAGCCAGGAGUUCUUCAGGAUCUCCCAUGAGGGUGGUAGGGACCCAAGCACUUGAACCACCCUUUACUGCUUUUCCCAGGCACAUUAGCAGGGAGCUAGAUUGGAAGUGGAGCAGCAGGGGCAUUAAUGGGCUGCCAAAUGGGAUGCCUGCGUUGCAGGCGGCUUUACCCACUGUGCUACCACACCAGCCCCCGUCCUUCACUUUUUUAAAUGUUUAUUUACUCUUUUUCCUUUAUUUGAGAGACAGGGAGCUAGAAAUGGAGAACUCGUAUCUGUUGCUUCGCUCCCCAAAUGCCUCUAAGAGCCCAGGCUGCCCAGGCUGAAACCAGGAGUCAGGAAUCCAGGUCUCCUAUGUGGCUGGCAAGGACUCAAAUAGUUGAACCAUAACCACCUGGCUCCCCGGGUGUAUAACAGUAAGAAACUGGAUCGGAAAUCACGUAGCAAAGACUCGAACCAGGCACUCAAAUGUGGGAUGCAAGCUUUGCAGGGGGAGCCUGACUGCUGUGUCAGACGCCCACCCCUCACUUCUUUUGAUUGCCAAGUAAUAUCUCUUUGUGCACAUAGGCGGGAUUUUAACUAUCCGUUCACUCAUUCUGGCGCUUUGGGUUGUCUCAUUUUUUGGCUGUUAGGAAUAAUGCUGUUGUGAACACUUUUUUUUUUUUUAAAGAUUUAUUUAUUUAUUUGAAAGUGAGAGUUAUACAGAGAGAAGAAGAGAGGCAGAGAGAGAGAGAGAGAUGGAGGGAGGGAGGGAGGGAGAGAGGAAGGGAGGGAGGGAGGGAUGGAGGGAGGGAGAGAGGGGUCUUUCAUCCACUGGCUCACUCCCCAGUUGGCUGCUGGGAGCUGUGCCAAUCCGAAGCCAGGAGCCAGGAGCUUCCUC